AACGAACGCUGGCGGCAGGCUUAACACAUGCAAGUCGAACGCCCCGCAAGGGGAGUGGCAGACGGGUGAGUAACGCGUGGGAAUCUACCCAUCUCUGCGGAAUAGCUCCGGGAAACUGGAAUUAAUACCGCAUACGCCCUACGGGGGAAAGAUUUAUCGGGGAUGGAUGAGCCCGCGUUGGAUUAGCUAGUUGGUGGGGUAAAGGCCUACCAAGGCGACGAUCCAUAGCUGGUCUGAGAGGAUGAUCAGCCACAUUGGGACUGAGACACGGCCCAAACUCCUACGGGAGGCAGCAGUGGGGAAUAUUGGACAAUGGGCGCAAGCCUGAUCCAGCCAUGCCGCGUGAGUGAUGAAGGCCUUAGGGUUGUAAAGCUCUUUCACCGGUGAAGAUAAUGACGGUAACCGGAGAAGAAGCCCCGGCUAACUUCGUGCCAGCCGCCGCAGUAA
rnacentral:rRNA from 1 species